rnacentral:piRNA from 1 species
UUCUGAUGAUUCAGAUGAUUCUGAUGU